GCUAUUGACACUGCAAAUUGUUUUCUUGUCUCUAUGUUUCUUACUUUAUGCAACCCCGUCGGUAUUAAGGUAGUAUAGUUUGUGGGGAGCAAUGAAAAACUGAAUUUGUUGAUUCUUAGAAUUUGGACUGGUCCGUUUGAUACGUCUGCACUCGUGAUGCGGAACAUUUUCCAACAUAGUGUGGGUUCAGAAGUGAGGAAAACAAUUGGCUUGCAGGGUUCAAGCUACUUUCUUGUGCUUGUUUUGCCUUGUAAUUACUUGAAACUGCAACCUGCAGGUUGAAUGGGCGCUUGAUAUUUUAGGGCGGAAGGCUGAAGCAAAGAAAGCUGCGGCUCUUUAGUAUAUCUUUAGAUUUGCGGCUCUUUGAGCUGUGGUGCAUUUGAUUUGAGACCCGAAUGAGGUCGGUUAAAUUAGGAUUAAAGUCUGCACAAUAACCAGGAACACUGAACAAGCAAGGCUAUUCAGAUGAAGUCUGCACUUAAUACUAUAGGUUUCCUUUUGGGCUCUUGGUACAACUUCGCUAGCAUCAUAAAUUAAUUGUGGGAUAUGAUGCAUAGUACUAGCUUCUUAUGUUUAUUUUGGAAAUCUUAGUUUAUAGGUUUCCUUUUCGUCUCUUGUACUAAUAUUCAGGGCAAUGGAAAUCUUGUAUAAUAAUCUGUACGUAGUUGGUACUAACAACAAAACGAUGACAUGUUUGUUUUUGGGCAUUAAGUCAUGUGCUGAUCCUCUUGCAUUUGGAUUCCGGUCUUACCCUGACUAUGUGGAUAUGCUAUUCUAGGUUGGUUUUACGUUUCUUAUUGGAAGAGUGAGAUGCCCAGGACAGAAUCCAGUUUGUAUCAACGCCUCAUUGAAUAGAAUCAUGUAGAUUCUUCUUCAUACAAGCUUCAUAAAGAAAUAGUUUUAAGGGAGGACUUCAAAGAGUAUUUUGCCAAAUUUGGUAAAGUGCGGGCAAUACAAAAGGUAGGAAGACCAUACGAAGACCAAUAUAAAAAGGAGGAUGCAUGAGCUUCAAAUCUGAUUGAAUUCAGUUAGAAGAUGGAGACUUGAAGGAGGAAUUAGUUGAGAAUGUGAAGGUGGAUAGAACAUGGG